ACGGACGCUGGCGGCGUGCCUAAUACAUGCAAGUCGAACGGUCUUUUCUAUGGAAGCUUGCUUCCACUGAGAAGAUAGUGGCGAACGGGUGAGUAACACGUGGGUAACCUGCCCAUAAGAGGGGGAUAACAUCCGGAAACGGGUGCUAAUACCGCAUAGUUUUCUUGAUCGCAUGAUUGAGAAAGGAAAGACGGCCUUUGUGCUGUCGCUUAUGGAUGGACCCGCGGCGUAUUAGUUAGUUGGUGAGGUAACGGCUCACCAAGACGAUGAUACGUAGCCGACCUGAGAGGGUGAUCGGCCACAUUGGGACUGAGACACGGCCCAAACUCCUACGGGAGGCAGCAGUAGGGAAUCUUCCGCAAUGGACGAAAGUCUGACGGAGCAACGCCGCGUGAGUGAAGAAAGGUUUUCGGAUCGUAAAACUCUGUUGUCAGAGAAGAACAAGUUGGAGAGUAACUGCUCCAGCCUUGACGGUAUCUGACCAGAAAGCCACGGCUAACUACGUGCCAGCCGCUGC
rnacentral:rRNA from 1 species